AGAGCAGAAUUUACAAAUAGCUUUUUGUUCCUUGUAGUACAUCUUUCAAAAAGCAUCUUCAUCAAGGCAGGUAAGAC
ensembl:misc_RNA